rnacentral:rRNA from 1 species
GACGAACGCUGGCGGCGUGCUUAACACAUGCAAGUCGAACGGAAAGGCCCUGCUUUUGUGGGGUGCUCGAGUGGCGAACGGGUGAGUAACCCGUGAGUAACCUGCCCUUGACUUUGGGAUAACUUCAGGAAACUGGGGCUAAUACCUGCUAGGAGCUCCUGCUGCAUGGUGGGGGUUGGACAGUUUCGGCGGUUGGGGAUGGACUGGCGGCUUAUCAGCUUGUUGGUGGGGUAGUGGCUUACCAAGGCUUUGACGGGUAGCCGGCCUGAGAGGGUGACCGGCCACAUUGGGACUGAGAUACGGCCCAGACUCCUACGGGAGGCAGCAGGGGGGAAUAUUGCACAAUGGGCGGAAGCCUGAUGCAGCAACGCCGCGUGCGGGAUGACGGCCUUCGGGUUGUAAACCGCUUUAGCCUGUGACGAAGCGUGAGUGACGGUAAUGGGUAAAGAAGCACCGGCUAACUACGUG